AACGAACGCUGGCGGCAUGCCUAACACAUGCAAGUCGAACGAGACCUUCGGGUCUAGUGGCGCACGGGUGCGUAACGCGUGGGAACCUGCCCUUAGGUUCGGAAUAACUCCCCGAAAGGGGUGCUAAUACCGGAUAAUGUCUUCGGACCAAAGAUUUAUCGCCUUUGGAUGGGCCCGCGUUGGAUUAGCUAGUUGGUAGGGUAAAAGCCUACCAAGGCGACGAUCCAUAGCUGGUCUGAGAGGAUGAUCAGCCACACUGGGACUGAGACACGGCCCAGAUCCCUACGGGAGGCAGCAGGGGGGAAAAUUGGACAAGGGGCGAAAGCCUGAUCCAGCAAUGCCGGGUGGGUGAUGAAGGCCUUAGGUUUGUAAAGCUUUUUUCCCCGGGAUGAUAAUGACAGUACCGGGAAAAAAAGCCCCGGCUAACUCCGU
rnacentral:rRNA from 1 species